AUACUUACCUGGCAGAGGAAAUACCAUGGCCAUGAAGGUGCUUUUCCUAGGGUGAAGCUUAUCCAUUGCACCUAUAUAUGCUGACCCCUGCUAUUUCCCCAAAGGUGGGAAACUCAACUGGUCAACCAUAUAAUCUGUGGUAGUAAAGGACUGAUUUGGCACUCUCUUCUG